rnacentral:lncRNA from 1 species
UUCAAUUUGGAUUUUAUGGAAGUAUAGGCUGGUCAAAUAUCCUUCAUGCAGAGAUUCAGGCUCUCCUUGUUGGUCACUUGAUCGGAAUGUUGUUUCUUGAAAUGAUUAAAGUUUGUACCAAAAGACUAUCGGUUUGCAACAUGUGCUCUCUAUGGCAAAAUUAUCCUAGAAGAUCAAAAUGAUUAAAUAAGAAGCUCACAUUUACUAGAAAAUAUCUUUACAAACAUAUCCAAAAUGUGCAUGCUUAUUACACAGUUCCAAGAGUAGUAACAAAACACUGUACAUUCGGUAAAGAUAAAAUAUCAUUCAUUGAUAUAUAAACCAGAUAAGUUUGCAAAUAAAGAGAUUAAAAAAUCAAUAUUGAAUUAUGAUAUGAACAAUUGAUAAGCCACUUUGUAUAUAAGGUAAUAUUCAAAAAACGAAAUUCAUAUACCUCUUGGUGAAGACAAGAAAAACAACUAGUUACUGAUUCCUCCAAGUAGAAGAAAGACUUCCUUGUAUAUUGUUAUCUGAGUACAACCCUCUUCUUUGCAACCAAGCAUCUCAAUCAAUUGGGUGCUCAAAUCAAGCCAAACUAAUUCCUUAUCUUUUCUUUUGAAAAAUAUUUCCCCCGUCACCCCAACUCUAAUUGGGCGCUCAACACAAAGCAAUGGUUCAAAUGU